AGCAGGGUGUGUGGGGUCUCCUGUGAUGGCCUUGGUGCUCCUCAGGUAGCAGGAUGUGGUGAAGGUUUCCAGACUGGGCAGAGGGCAGCCGAUGAUCUUUUGGGCAGUGUUUAUGACCCUCUGCACCGCCUUCCUGUCCUUAAAUGUGG